UUUUUUUCAAAACCCAUUAAUGCCCAUUUAAAACCCAUUAGCCUCACAGCAUUAUUUAUGCAAUACUAAUUGCAGUGUAACUGUUGUUAUAAAUAGCUGCUCCAAAACUGAUGAUGCAAAAACAUCAUGCU